rnacentral:rRNA from 1 species
UGGGGAAUCUUGCACAAUGGGGGAAACCCUGAUGCAGCGACGCCGCGUGAGCGAAGAAGCCUUUCGGGGUGUAAAGCUCUUACGCCAGGGACGAUAAUGACGGUACCUGGAGAAGCAGCUGCGGCUAACUACGUGCCAGCAGCCGCGGUAAUACGUAGGCAGCAAGCGUUGUUCGGAAUUACUGGGCGUAAAGGGCGCGUAGGCGGCGCGGUAAGUCACUUGUGAAAUCUCUGAGCUUAACUCAGAACGGCCAAGUGAUACUGCUGUGCUAGAGUGCGGAAGAGGCAACCGGAAUUCUUGGUGUAGCGGUGAAAUGCGUAGAUAUCAAGAGGAACACCUGAGGCGAAGGCGGGUUGCUGAGCCGACACUGACGCUGAUGCGCGAAAGCCAGGGGAGCAAACG